rnacentral:snRNA from 1 species
AUCACUUCUCAGCCUUUUGGCUAAGAUCAAGUGUAGUAUCUGUUCUUACCAGCUUAAUUCUGGUACGUCCUGUAUUCAAGGACAAUGUAUUAAAUGGAUUUUUGGAACAGGGAGAUGGAAUAAGAACUUGCUUCGUCCACUCCACGCACUGACCUGGUAUUGCAGUCCCUCCAGGAAUUGUGCACACAAA